UAAUUGGGCGUUAAGUUGCAGGGUAUAGACCCGAAACCCGGUGAUCUAGCCAUGGGCAGGUUGAAGGUUGGGUAACACUAACUGGAGGACCGAACCGACUAAUGUUGAAAAAUUAGCGGAUGACCUGUGGCUGGGGGUGAAAGGCCAAUCAAACCGGGAGAUAGCUGGUUCUCCCCGAAAGCUAUUUAGGUAGCGCCUCGUGAAUUCAUCUCCGGGGGUAGAGCACUGUUUCGGCUAGGGGGCCAUCCCGGCUUACCAACCCGAUGCAAACUGCGAAUACCGGAGAAUGUUAUCACGGGAGACACACGGCGGGUGCUAACGUCCGUCGUGAAGAGGGAAACAACCCAGACCGCCAGCUAAGGUCCCAAAGUCAUGGUUAAGUGGGAAACGAUGUGGGAAGGCCCAGACAGCCAGGAUGUUGGCUUAGAAGCAGCCAUCAUUUAAAGAAAGCGUAAUAGCUCACUGGUCGAGUCGGCCUGCGCGGAAGAUGUAACGGGGCUAAACCAUGCACCGAAGCUGCGGCAGCGAACGUAUCACCCAAGACAACUUUGCGGAGUUGACGAUUGACGGAGCGAAGCGACGUCAAAGCGUUCAUUAAAGUCGAGUUGGCUUAGGGAUACGUUCGUUGGGUAGGGGAGCGUUCUGUAAGCCUGU
rnacentral:rRNA from 1 species